GCCGCUGUCCGCCUCCCGGGCAGACGGCAGCGGCGCGGCGGGGCGCGAUGGCGGCCGGGCUGGGGCCGUGGCUGCUGGCCUUGGCCUUGGGGCCGGCAGGGGUGUGUGCACAGCCCAGGAUUGUGGAAGCUGGUGGUGGUCUACGAGAACCUGGGGAGUCUGUGUCCCUCUCCUGCCAGGGAUCUGGCUCCAACUUCAGAAGUUACCUUGUUUUCUGGUACCGUCAGGCACACCGUGGCCAUCUUGAGUGGCUGUCUUACACUAGCAGCGUCUCCUUUUACACUUCCUUCAGCCCCAAGAUGGAGCAUCGAGCCACAGCCUCUCGAGACAAUGACCAUGCUGUGGCAUCUCUGUCUCUACGCGCCCUGCGCCCCCACGACUCAGCCCGCUACUUUUGUGCCAUUCACACAGGAACAGGAAAUCCUCCUGAGCUUUAACAAAAAUACCCCUUAUUGAACACUGUCAUAUCUGCAGGAGCCACAGGGCUGGAAGGCACUAGAGCGGCUCUGGCUGUUUCCUGGACUGUGGGGGGUCAUCACUGCACAGCACAGAUGGCCCUGUCCUUUCUGCAACACCUUCUUUCACUUCACCACUCCUUCCAUUCUCCUGAGUCACAAAAGCAGUGUUGCAACCUGAGGAUUAUGUUUGG